rnacentral:rRNA from 1 species
CCUACGGGUGGCAGCAGUGGGGAAUAUUGCACAAUGGGGGAAACCCUGAUGCAGCGACGCCGCGUGAGUGAAGAAGUAAUUCGUUAUGUAAAGCUCUAUCAGCAGGGGAGAAAAUGACGGUACCUGAGUAAGAAGCCACGGCUAACUACGUGCCAGCAGCCGCGGUAAUACGGAGGGUGCAAGCGUUAUCCGGAUUUACUGGGGGUAAAGGGAGCGUAGGCGGCAGUGGAAGUCUGGAGGGAAAGGCGGGGGCUCAACCCCCGGACUGCCCUGGAAACUGUACGACUGGAGUGCGGGAGAGGUAAGUGGAAUUCCUGGUGUAGCGGUGAAAUGCGUAGAUAUUAGGAGGAACACCAGUGGCGAAGGCGGCUUACUGGAAUGUAAUUGACGUUGAGGCUCGAAAGCGUGGGGAGCAAACAGGAUUAGAUACCCUUGUAGUC